rfam:Basidiobolus meristosporus CBS 931.73 K493scaffold_217, whole genome shotgun sequence.
GACGGUCUGUCCGAGUGGUUAAGGAGACAGACUCGAAAUCUGUUGGGCUCUGCCCGCACAGGUUCAAAUCCUGUGGCCGUCG